ensembl:lncRNA
CCUUCAUGUGACUCUGUGACACACUCUCCUGUACCAUCCCUUCAUGUGACUCUGUGACACUCUCCUAUACCAUCCCUUCAUGUGACACAGUCUCCUGUACCAUCCCUUCAUGUGACUCUGUGACACAUGCUCCAGUGCUCCUUGGCAUAGUGGAUGUUCGUGGCACCACAUGCGCUGUCAGUAGCCACAGCGCUAGCCUGGGCUGGCACUCAUUCCACUUAGCAGUCUUAGAAGACGUGACCUCGAGAGAUUCACAAGCAGUGUCUCAACGAUUAUAUAACAAGAUAAAAAGUUAGAAGCACGUAGAUUGCCUAUAUAUUUUGCAGACAUUUUCCACAUAAGAUUCUAGAAGUGUAGUGUAUUUUUUUGCUGCGUUAUUAUUAUCAAAUGGAAUCGGAGGCCAAACGAACUGUCGCCGUCUUAAUGGUCCUCUGAAGGGUAUUGGUCCGUUGUUUAAUUUCUCCUCAAGGACACAUGUCCUAGAGGCCUCUGUGUUGUCGUUGGUCAUGCGAUCCACAGACCUGUUAACAUGUACAGUUCCACACACUGGUUAUUUGACCCAUAUGGUAGCACUGAGUAAAUGAGUGUCUGACCAUCGAGAGUCCCCACAUAUCCUCGUCAUGCACACGUUACUGUGUCAUACCUACUGGUUGAUCUGAUUGUCUGGUUGGUUGUGGGAGUUGCUGGUCCAACCCAUGUCUCUGGGAAUCCAUCCCCCGUGUUUUCCCUUGCUGGUUGUGCUGUUGUGUGUGUGUGAGUGUGUGUGUGUGUUUGUGUGUGUUUGCUGGUCUAUAGACGCUGAGUGUACAAAACAUUAAGAACUGCUCUUUCCAUGGCAUAGACUGACCAGGUGAAUCCAGGUGAUGUCACUUGUUAAAUCCACUUCAAUCAGUGUAGUUGAAGACAGGUUAAACCUGAUUUUUACGCCUUGAAACAAUUGAGACAUGGAUUGUGUAUGUGAGCCAUUCAGAGGGUGAAUUGGCAAGACAAAAUAUUUUUAAGUGCCUUUGAACAGGGUAUGGUAGUAGGUGUCAGGCACACCAGUUUGUGCCACAAACUGCAAUGGUGCUGGGUUUUUCAUGCUGAACAGUUUCCCGUGUGUAUCAAGAAUGGUCUACCACCCAAAAAACAUACAACCAACUUGACACAACUGUGGGAAGCAUUGGAGCCAACAUGGACCUGCAUCCAUGUGGAACACUUUUGACACCUUGUAGAGUCCAUGUCUGAUGAAUUGAGGCUGUUCUGAGUGCAAACGGGGGUGUAACUCAAUAUUAAGGAGGUGUUCUUAAUGUUUGGUAUACCCAGUGUGUGUGUGUGUGCGUGCGUGCGUGCGUGCGUGCGUGCGUGCGUGUGCACCAGUGGCAGUGCCAUGGUGCAUGUACCUUGUUGAGUGAGCAGGACAACGGCCAUCCAGCUCCACAAAACGACCCAUGCUCUCUCAAUCUCUCUCCAACAGAAAGGAUGGGUUAAGGCUCUGACUCAGGCCUACCCAGUGCCUGCUCACAGUAGCCUAGUCAGAGGAACUGUCCUCUCAUACUACUGAAUCUAACAGACAAGGAGGCUGACGUAGAGAGGAGAGGAGUGGCCGACACAGGCAUCAUGUGCUUUCUGAUGUAUCCCUCGAUGGGAUUCUUUGGAAUGUAGUUAUUAGUGUAUGUUUGGCAAACUGUUGUUUAAUUUUUGCUCUGCUCCCAGUUGUACAUUUUCAAAAGUGAAAAAGGCUAGUAUCCCUGGAGUACAUGUUUUUGCUGGGAAAUUCCCUUUGAUGGUAGAUAAACUGAAUCUCAGCAUAGUAUGACGAGACUCCUAGUCAAGGAAUGUGUAAUACACUUGAAGAAUGAGGCAAUGGCAUUUUCUGAACUGUAGUUUGAAUAGUACAAUAAGACCCACUCAUAUCAAUCUCAAAUCAUUUUUCAUUAAAGCAGAAAAUGUUUAGACUUGACAAGAGUUGAUCCCCUUUAACGAUGUCUUAAUACACCUCUUUUAAAACAUACUACUUCAGUUCCAUUUCUAUUGCAUAGCACACAGCUAGUUUCCCCAGACCUGUGCAUAAAGAGGCUAGUUUUCCUUUCAUCCUCUGUCAUAAAUCACUCUGAAAGUGAAGACUUCUCUCUCUCCUAUCAGUAGUUUUCAAUAAGCACAUAUGACACCUCUGUCACAUCACUUUUGUAUCACUUUUGUAUAAGUGUUUGAUUACCUAGAAGGUUCAUAAAAAAGGAAACUAGAUUUAUUUAUCUAAACAUGAAAAAGUCUAAAGUUAUUUAAUGUAUUAAAAAUCUGGACGUAUCAUUUAACUGUAGAUUAUAUCAUCUGCUUUUUAAAUAAAGUGGUUUUGUAGCUAACUUAAA